rnacentral:rRNA from 1 species
UCGAGCGGAACGACNACAUUGACCCUUCGGGUGAUUUGUUGGGCGUCGAGCGGCGGACGGGUGAGUAAUGCCUGGGAAAUUGCCCUGAUGUGGGGGAUAACCAUUGNAAACGAUGGCUAAUACCGCAUAAUGUCUACGGACCANAGAGGGGGACCUUCGGGCCUCUCGCUUCAGGAUAUGCCCAGGUGGNAUUAGCUAGUUGGNGAGGUAAUGGCUCACCAAGGCGANNAUCCCUAGCUGGUCUGAGAGGAUGAUCAGCCACACUGGAACUGAGACACGGUCCAGACUCCUACGGGAGGCAGCNGUGGGGAAUAUUGCACAAUGGGCGCAAGCCUGAUGCAGCCAUGCCGCGUGUAUGANGAAGGCCUUCGGGUUGUAAAGUACUUUCAGUCGUGAGGAAGGCGUUGAAGUUAAUAGCUUCAUCGUUUGACGUUAGCGANAGUNNAANCACCGGNUAACUCCGUGCCAGCAGCCGCGGUANUACGNAGGNUGCGAGCGUUANNCGGANUUACUGGGCGUANAGNGCAUGCAGGNGNUUUGU